GACGAACGCUGGCGGCGUGCUUAACACAUGCAAGUCGAACGAUGAAGCUGGAGCUUGCUCCGGUGGAUUAGUGGCGAACGGGUGAGUAACACGUGAGAAAUCUGCCCUUGACUCUGGGAUAACUGCGGGAAACUGUAGCUAAUACCGGAUAUUUUCCUUGGUGUGCAUCCACUGGGGAAGAAAGAAUUUCGGUCAAGGAUGAUCUCGCGGCCUAUCAGCUAGUUGGUGAGGUAAUGGCUCACCAAGGCGACGACGGGUAGCCGGCCUGAGAGGGUGACCGGCCACACUGGGACUGAGACACGGCCCAGACUCCUACGGGAGGCAGCAGUGGGGAAUAUUGCACAAUGGGCGCAAGCCUGAUGCAGCAACGCCGCGUGAGGGAUGAAGGCCUUCGGGUUGUAAACCUCUUUUAGCAGGGAAGAAGCGAAAGUGACGGUACCUGCAGAAAAAGCACCGGCUAACUACGUGCCAGCCGCCGCGGUAA
rnacentral:rRNA from 1 species